AUAAGUUAAAUACAUUCAAGAAAUCAACUUGUCAAGCAAUACCUCUUAAAGAGAAAAGUGUUAGAAUUGGUGGCAAUUGGCAAACCCACUUCCAAUAUAGUCAACAAAUUACACCGCCGUCCUCACCAACCAUUGAACCUCACCAACCAUUGAAUGGAGGAGGAGAAUUUGGAAACGACAAUUGUUUUUCACCACCUACCAUCACCAUUCUUUGCUAUAAAAGAGGGAGCUCUCUGCCCUUGAAAUUAUCCCACAAAAUACUACAAGUGCAGUAGUAAUAGAGAGAAAAAAAUUAGAGAGUUGAAUGGGAGAGAAGAGCCGAAGCUCUUGAGUGCAAGGUUCUACAAUUCUGGAAAUUCCAGAAAUUGCAAUCUAGGGUAACUUAGAAAGUGAUUUCAAUUUGGUCGUUGAGUCUUUGUUAUUUCCUAUUUGGUGGUAAAUCCGAAAAUCAAUUUGAUUUUCUGAUUAAUUGUAAUAGUUGUGUGAUUUAUCAAUACAAAGUGUCGAGUUUCUUGUUCGGGCUCAAUCAACGCUUUCAACAAGUGGUAUCAGAGCUUGGUUCGUGAUAGGCGAUGUCAAAAAUGGCGGCUAUAUUUGCACCACAGAUUUUGAAGUUGAACAAGAAGAACUACGGCAAUUGGAGUAACCAGAUGAAACUCUUGCUCGGUGCUAACGACCUAUGGGAGAUCGUUGAAGACGGAUAUUCUGAACCAGAUGAUAAAGCUGCUGAAGAAGCUUUAACAGAUCUUGAAAAGAAGACACUAAAAACUUCUCGCAUGAAGGAUAAGAGGGCCAGACUUCUAAUCCACCAGAAUGUUGAAGAAGACCUAGUUGAAAAGUUUUCUGAAGCAACAUCAGCAAAAGAAGCUUGGACGCUGCUGCAUAAAUCAUUUCAAGGAGUUGUCAAAGUACAAAGACAUCGUAUCCAAACUCUACGUGGAGAGUUCGAGGCAUUGAAGAUGUCCACUUCAGAACCAGUCAUCGACUAUGUCACAAAACUCCAAGGGAUAGUUAAUGAAAUGAAGAGGAAUGGUGAACCUCUUGAGGAGAUCAAGGUCAUUGAAAAGAUCAUGAGAACAUUGCCUCGAAGAUUCAACCACGUCGUCGCCUCAAUAGAAGAGUCAAGAGAUUUUUCCACGAUGACCAUUGACGAUCUACUCGGUUCCCUGCAAGCCCACGAGUACAGAAUGAAUCGUCAAGACGAUUCAGAAAAAGAUGAGCAAGCUUUGCAAAGUAAGCUCACUCUCAAUAAUGACUAUGGAAGCAGUUCCAGUCGAGGAAGAGGCGGUCGUGGAAGAUUCGGAGAUACUCACAACCGUGGCAGACGAGGAGGAGGACCACAAGUCAACCACAAAGAUCAGACAACACAGACUUCAUAUACCAACCCAAGAGCUGGCAGACGCGGUCGUGGUCGCGGUCGCGGAUAUCAAGAUCGUGGCAGAGGAGGUUAUCACCAACGAGGUGAUAAGUCACAGUAUGAGUGUUAUAACUGUGGAGAAUAUGGUCAUUUCAGUUAUGAAUGUACUAAACCAGCCAGACAGGAGAGCAAUCACGUAGCAGCAGUUGAAGAUGAAACUCUGUUGCUGACAUGCAAAGGUAAUGAAGAUGAAAGGAAUAAUGUUUGGUAUCUUGACACAGGUGCAAGAAAUCACAUGUGCGGUACCAAAGAGUUCUUUACAGAACUAAAUCAAGCAGUCCGAGGUGAAGUCAGAUUUGGAGACGCAUCCAAAGUUCAAGUCCAAGGUAAAUGUGUACUAUGUUCCAGCUAUGAAAAAUAACAUCAUUAGUCUUGGACAACUACUGGAGAGAGGCUAUGAAAUCCACAUGAAGGACUACUCGCUUGCCAUCAGAAAUGGAAGUGGAGACAUGAUCGCCAAAGUAAACAUGGCGAAAAACAGGUUGUUCACACUUGACAUCCAGACUCAAACAGCCAAAUGUUUGAAGUCCACACUGGAUGAUAGCUCGUGGCUGUGGCACCUGCGCUUUGGUCAUCUUGGAUUUACCGGCUUGAAGCUGUUGUCAAAAGCUAAUAUGGUGAAAGGGCUACCGGUGAUCGAUGAACCAGAACGAGUGUGUGAAAGCUGUGUCAAAGGCAAACAACACAGGAGUAGCUUUCCAGUCGGACAAUCAUGGAGAGCAAGCAGACCAUUGGAGCUCGUACACACAGACAUAGCAGGCCCGUUUGAUGUCGAGUCAUUUGGCAAGAAAAAGUACUACAUCACUUUCAUUGACGAUUUUUCAAGAAAGUGUUGGGUAUAUUUUCUUCGUCAAAAGUCAGAAGCUCUUGAAAAGUUCAAGGAAUUCAAGGCGAUGGCAAAGAAGCAGAGUGGAGAAUAUCUGACAACCGUCAGAUCAAACAGAGGCGGUGAAUACACAUCAAAUCUUUUCAAAGAAUUUUGCAGGGAAACUGGAAUAGUGCACCAGUUCACAACCGCCUAUACUCCACAACAAAAUGGAAUUGCUGAAAGAAAGAACCGCACAAUUCUUGAUAUGGCAAGGAGCAUGAUGAAGCAAAAGAACCUGUCAAAAGAUUUUUGGGCUGAAGCUGUAAAUUGUGCAGUCUACCUACUCAACCGAUGUCCAACCAAAAGCGUCAGAUUCAAGACUCCAAAUGAAGCAUGGAGCGGCCACAAACCAACUGUCGGACAUCUCAGAAUCUUUGGAUGUAUAGCUUAUGCCCACGUUCCAGUCCAGAAAAGAAAGAAGCUUGAUGAUAAAGGUGUUAAAUGCAUCUUUGUCGGAUAUGCUAAACAAACGAAGGGGUACAAGCUAUAUGAUCCUGUUAACAAGAAGCUCAUAAUUUCCAGAGAUGUCACAUUCGAUGAAGCUGAUCAAUGGAAGUGGACUGAUGAAGAGAAAUCUAUCACAGGAUUAUUCUACGAGGACAAUGAUGCUGAUCCUGAAGAGCCAACUCAAGAAGAUAGUGAUCAGACGCCACCUCCCAGUCCAGAUCAACCAUCUCCUCAAUCAACACCAUCAACAUCAGCAAGCAGUAGCAGUAAUUCAGGGGGAGCUCCAGCUAAAACGAGGAGCUUAAGGAACAUCUAUGACUCAACAGAACCUGUUGAAAUGAUGAAUGAAUACACGUUGUUCUGUCUACUUGCUGAAUGUGAUCCUGUCACAUAUGAGGAAGCUGAAAAAGAUGAGAAGUGGAGAAAAGCUAUGAAUGAAGAGAUAGCUUCAAUCAAAAGGAAUGAUACUUGGGAGUUAACCAACUUACCUGAAGGUCAUCAAGCCAUUGGAGUCAAAUGGGUUUUCAAGACGAAGACAAACCCUGAAGGAAAGGUGGAGAAACACAAGGCGAGACUUGUAGCUAAAGGCUAUAAACAAAAGUACGCCAUUGACUAUGAAGAAAUCUUUGCACCUGUUGCUAGAAUUGAAACCAUCAGACUGCUAAUUGCAUUUGCUGCUCAGAACAAAUGGAGAGUCUACUAGAUGGAUGUGAAGUCAGCAUUCCUAAAUAGCUAUCUUGAAGAAGAAGUCUAUGUUGAGCAACCACUGGGAUAUGUCAAAAGAGGCCAAGAAGAUAAAGUGUAUCACUUGAAAAAGGCUUUAUACGGAUUGAAGCAGGCUCCGCGGGCAUGGAACACCAGAAUUGAUGAAUACUUCCAGAAGAACGGCUUUCAAAAGAGUUCUUACGAGCAUGCCCUCUACACCAAAAGAAAUGAAGCCGGAGAUAUUAUGAUCAUCUGCCUCUACGUAGAUGAUAUGAUAUUGACAGGGAACAAUCCUAGCAUGUUCGAAGAGUUCAAGAAAGCCAUGACCAAAGAAUUUGAAAUGACUGACAUUGGUCAAAUGUCAUAUUUUCUUGGAGUCGAAGUGUUCCAGUCAGAAGAUGGAAUCUUUAUUUCCCAGAAGAAGUACGCGGGCCAAAUUCUGAGAAAAUUCAGAAUGGAGAACUGUAAGCCUAUGUCAACACCAGCUGAAGCAGGAAUGAAGCUUAGAACUGAUUCAGGAAAAGAUCCAGUCGAUCCGACACUAUACAAGAGCUUGGUAGGAAGUCUCAGAAAUCUAACCUUUACAAGGCCAGAUAUCAUGUAUGCAGUCAGGUUAGUAAGCAGAUACAUGGACUCUCUAAAAGAAGACCAUUUUCAAGCCGCAAAGAGAAUCCUAAGGUACAUCAAAGGUACCGUUGGAGAAGGGUUACACUAUACUCACUCUGAAAACUCCAAAUUGAUUGGAUAUUCAGACAGUGACUAUGGUGGAGACUUGGAUAGCAGGAAAAGCACUUCCGGCUACUUGUUCACAAUUGGAUCUGCAGCAUUCUCAUGGUCCUCGAAGAAGCAACAAACUGUUGCACUUUCAACAUGUGAGGCUGAAUACAUGGCAGUGGCGGCUUGUACAUGUCAAGCAAUAUGGCUGAGGAAUAUCAUGAAGGAACUGUUUCAUGAUCAAGAUGGUCCGACACCGAUAUAUGUCGAUAAUAAAUUGACUAUAUCACUUUCAAAGAAUCCAGUGUCCCACAGCAGAAGCAAACACAUUGAUAUGAAGUAUCACUUCGUUAGAGAGCAAGUGAAGGACAAUAUCAUUGAACUAAUUUACUGCAGGACAGAAGACCAAGCUGCCGACAUUUUCACAAAGGCUUUGAAAACUGAAGUGUUCUUGAAACUCAAGCAGAUGCUUGGCAUGGAGAAUUGGGUUUGAGGGGGAGUGUUAGAAUUGGUGGGAAUUGGCAAACCCACUUCCAACAUAGUCAACAAAAUACACCACCGUCCUCACCAACCAUUGAACCUCACCAACCAUUGAAUGGAGGAGGAGAAUUUGGAAACGGCAAGUGUUUUUCACCACCUACCAUCACCAUUCUUUGCUAUAAAAGAGGGAGCUCUCUGCCCUUGAAAUUAUCCCACAAAAAAUACUACAAGUGCAGUAGUAAUAGAGAGAAAAAAAAUUAGAGAGUUGAAUGGGAGAGAAGAGCCGAAGCUCUUGAGUGCAAGGUUCUGCAAUUCUGGAAAUUCCAGAAAUUGCAAUCUAGGGUAACUUAGAAAGUGAUUUCAAUUUGGUCGUUGAGUCUUUGUUAUUUCCUAUUUGGUGGUAAAUCCGAAAAUCAAUUUGAUUUUCUGAUUAAUUAUAAUAGUUGUGUGAUUUAUCAAUACAAUGUGUCGAGUUUCUUGUUCGGGCUCAAUCAACGCUUCCAACAAAAAGCACUUUGAC
rnacentral:lncRNA from 1 species